AAGGGUACAGCUCAAGUGGUAGGGCGCAUGCUUAACAUCCACGAGGUCCUGGGUUCAAUUCUCAGUACCUUCU
rnacentral:tRNA from 1 species